AUUGAACGCUGGCGGCAUGCCUUACACAUGCAAGUCGAACGGCAGCACGGGAGCAAUCCUGGUGGCGAGUGGCGAACGGGUGAGUAAUAUAUCGGAACGUGCCCAGUCGUGGGGGAUAACGUAGCGAAAGCUACGCUAAUACCGCAUACGAUCUACGGAUGAAAGCGGGGGAUCGCAAGACCUCGCGCGAUUGGAGCGGCCGAUAUCAGAUUAGCUAGUUGGUGGGGUAAAAGCCCACCAAGGCGACGAUCUGUAGCUGGUCUGAGAGGACGACCAGCCACACUGGGACUGAGACACGGCCCAGACUCCUACGGGAGGCAGCAGUGGGGAAUUUUGGACAAUGGGCGCAAGCCUGAUCCAGCAAUGCCGCGUGCAGGACGAAGGCCUUCGGGUUGUAACCGCUUUGUCAGGGAAGAAACGGGUUUCUCUAAUACAGAGACCUAAUGACGGUACCUGAAGAAUAAGCACCGGCUAACUACGUGCCAGCAG
rnacentral:rRNA from 1 species